rnacentral:rRNA from 1 species
GAUGAAAUUUUAACAGAACCCUUCGGGGCGAAGAUAAAAUGGAUUAGCGGCGGACGGGUGAGUAACACGUGAGUAACCUGCCUUAGACAUUGGGAUAGCCUCGGGAAACCGGGAUUAAUACCGAAUAACAUCACAUAGACACAUGUCAUUGUGAUCAAAACUCCGGUGGUCUAAGAUGGACUCGCGUCCCAUUAGCUAGUUGGUAGGGUAACGGCCUACCAAGGCGACGAUGGGUAGCCGGCCUGAGAGGGUGAACGGCCACAUUGGAACUGAGAAACGGUCCAAACUCCUACGGGAGGCAGCAGUGGGGAAUAUUGCACAAUGGGGGAAACCCUGAUGCAGCGACGCCGCGUGAACGAAGAAGGCUUUCGAGUCGUAAAGUUCUUUUAUAUGGGAAGAUAAUGACGGUACCAUAAGAAAAAGCCCCGGCUAACUACGUGCCAGCAGCCGCGGUAAUACGUAGGGGGCUAGCGUUGUCCGGAAUCACUGGGCGUAAAGGGUUCGCAGGCGGAAAUGCAAGUCAGAUGUAAAAGGCAGUAGCUUAACUACUGUAAGCAUUUGAAACUGCAUAUCUUGAGAAGAGUAGAGGUAAGUGGAAUUUUUAGUGUAGCGGUGAAAUGCGUAGAUAUUAAAAAGAAUACCGGUGGCGAAGGCGACUUACUGGGCUCAUUCUGACGCUGAGGAACGAAAGCGUGGGUAGCAAACAGGAUUAGAUACCCUGGUAGUCCACGGCUGUAAGCGAUGAGUGCUAGGUGUCGGCGUAAGUCCGGUGCCGCAGUUAACACAAUAAGCACUCCCCUGGGGAG